GACAGAGGCCUCGAGCGUUAGGCGGAAUCACUGGGCUUAAAGCGUGUGUAGGCGGAUCGUUAAGUGCCUUGUGAAAUCCCACGGCUUAACUGUGGAACGGCUGGGCAUACUGGCGGUCUUGAGCCAUCUAGGGGCGACUGGAACAAACGGUGGAGCGGUGAAAUGCGUAGAUAUCGUUUGGAACGCCAAUGGUGAAAACAGGUCGCUGGGGAUGAGCUGACGCUGAGACACGAAAGCCAGGGGGGCAAACGGG
rnacentral:rRNA from 1 species